rnacentral:rRNA from 1 species
AGAACGAACGCUGGCGGCAUGCCUAACACAUGCAAGUCGAACGAAGCCUUCGGGCUUAGUGGCGCACGGGUGCGUAACGCGUGGGAAUCUGCCCCCUCGGUUCGGAAUAACAGUUAGAAAUGACUGCUAAUACCGGAUGAUGACGUAAGUCCAAAGAUUUAUCGCCGAGGG